rnacentral:rRNA from 1 species
UACAGAGGUCUCAAGCGUUGUUCGGAUUCAUUGGGCGUAAAGGGUGCGUAGGUGGCGCUGUAAGUCAGGUGUGAAAUUUCGGAGCUCAACUCCGAAACUGCAUUUGAUACUGCGGUGCUUGAGGACUGGAGAGGAGAUUGGAAUUCACGGUGUAGCAGUGAAAUGCGUAGAUAUCGUGAGGAAGACCAGUGGCGAAGGCGGAUCUCUGGACAGUUCCUGACACUGAGGCACGAAGGCUAGGGGAGCAAACAGG